GACCUCUCAUUAAGUAGCACACAGGCAAUGUGUUUGUUGAUCAAAUGAUAAAUAACUGGCCAAGUAUGGGUGUUACCAGAGAUCCUCGCCCAGGCGGUAAAGAGGUAGGUUGGCACUCAGAAGGACCGGGACCAGAGUCUUCAGACCUCUCCACUUCAGAGCUGUGUUGCUGAGGACUGAUAGGCAAUCUCUGUGGAUUUGAGGAUUCCCACCUGCAGACCGAGGGCAAUGCUGCUCUCAGUCAGCCUCCGUUGUGCUGAAGUUUAAACGAAGAAACGAAUGUGAAAGCACUCCGUGAGGGUCACGGUUGUGGGUAUUAUGUGAUGACUGCCUGUGAACUCUAAACCCAGCACCUGUAGGAAUGGGGCUGCAACCUGCCCUGCUGCGUUACCUGAAGAUGGCCCCUGGUCCCGUGGUCCUCUGCAGGAGCCUUGGAACCAGCUCCUGGGGCCCCAGCCUGCCUGAGAGGGCUCUCAGACCUUUGAUGGCAUGGCAUGGAGUGGAUCUGGCUUGUUGCCCCACGUUGAGGAACUCAUUAGUUAAGGGACUCCCGAGAGAGCCCUCCAGCUAUGGGAGACCCAGGAGACCGAUUAUAUCAGAAUAUGCAACCCCGUAAGGAGAGUUUGGGAGCUGUGUAGGCCCCAAACACACAUGUGAUGACCCCUUAUCAUGAGCUGUGCUUGCUGAUUUGUUUACCCUACUGCAUCUCACCCUUACAGUUCUCCCCAUUUUACAGACAGAGAAACUGAUGAGACGUUCCAUAUCUUACUUAAGGUCAAAUGGUUAUUAAGUAGUACAGCUGAGAUAGGGAGCCCCAUCUUUCUGUUGCCAAAGACCAGGCAUUUGGCCAUAAAACCAUGGAGAAGGCGAACUACCAUGAUAACCAUUAGAGAAUUGGGGUUAGUGAGACCCUAUUGAACAAAUUUCACAGCCGCAGGUUUGAUGCCACCAAAAGGUGGCUGCCCCAUGCAUUAGUGAGGACAUCAAGCAGAAUGAGAAAGAAAUGCUUCUUUUCUGAAGACAGAGUUUCAGUUCAGCAACUGCCCAUCCCUCUAUCCAUCAUCCAUGAGGCUAGCCCAGAAGCCUUCCCCACUCAGGAGAGGUGCAGAGGGCCUGGCCAGUGUCUCCAGCCGUGCGUUUAGUCUGGGCUUGAUAUUUGUUGGCAGGGGUCCUCACCAAGUAAUUAAGCAACCCUUGGAGAACUUUGCCGUCAACUUGUGUGCUUGGGGGGCAAGCUGGGCAGGAGUCUGAACAGGGAUCCCGAGAAUGGCCCCAACUCAAGGAAGGAAUCCCCCUGGCUCUUUGCAAUAAAAAACAAGGGUUGAUUCCAUCCAUACACCCACACUAACUCUUGCUCAGUCUCCCCAGAGCUGAAUCAAAGGGGAAAUUAUGUGAAAAAUAGGGAUACAGAAUGUCUCUGUUCUGGAAACAGAUGUUACCAUAACUCUGUGUGUCUCAGUUGGUAGCAUAGGCCCCUCCCAGGUCAACAAUGAAAACAAUAGUGCAAGCCCCAGUACAAGCGCAACACAAACAAGAUACAACUUGUCUAAUUCCUGUGCACCUGCGUUUUGAUUGAGGGAGUGGGGAUGCACGUAGAGGUGCACCCAGACAUUGUUCUCCUCUGUCUUAGAAGAGGGAGGGUAGAAGAACGUGCCUGGCUUUGGGUCCCAGUGUCCCUUAACCCCACAGCUAAGAUGCUUAACUCCUGUGAUGCCUUGGGUAAGCCCUUGACUCCUUAUCCCUCCCUGUCUCUUCAGUCUUGCUCUUGGGACCAAUAUUAUCCACAUUCAAGAGAAAUUAAUGCAUUACCCAUGUGGUUGCUCCUGUUUGUACAGCUCUGCUUUUAUUCUUAGGAAUGUUCCCUCUCCCCUCUGUAGAGGACUAGAGUCUUGCCCCUGUACUGCAGCCUCAUGGGGACCUGCCUCUGGCCAGCUUUGACUUCUGGAUCCUGCAGUCUGUGCAUCUAUGCACCAUCACCCAUCCUCACACCUCUCAACCUCACCUCCCACUGGUUCCCGCUACCCUGCUUUCCAGAGAUUCUGCCCCACCUGCUUGGACUUCUGCCCACCAAACAUGUGUCCCCAUGUGUCCGGGUGUAGUUUUCAGGUUCAUAAGACCCCUUCCAGUGUGACCCACCUUUUCCCAGUUAAUCCUUUCAUAAUAAACAAUAGCAAUAAUAAUAUAAUUUAUUGUGUAUUUAUUGUGUGUCCCGCAGUUUAAAUCCAUCAUUCUCCCAGCUGUCCUGGUCCUGUUCCAAGCUCUUGGAGCAGUCUGGCUAGUGGCACAGGAAGUUCAAGGACCCUUUGGUCAAUAGGUCAGUGGGUCAGCCUCAUCAUUCCUGCUGUUGGCCUUGCUCCGGCAUGACCCUUACUCAUUGCAUAUGCUGAAGUUGGGCCCUGGUUUCAUUAACUAGGUUUAUAUCUUGACCCCUUUUGCUGAUUUUCUGCCUGGAUCCCCCACAAGAGACCUCAAGACUGACCUCCAUUCAUUGUGUGAGAGAAUCCCCGAAACUUACUGCUAAGCCCUCUGGUGCUGUGACGUGCCGUCUCAUGUACCUGCCUAGCAAAUGUGUCAGGCCACACACCAGCCUGCCUCAUGCUGGGGUGAUCCCCACAACCCGACCCCUCUUGUUGGCGCCUCUGAUGCCGUCUGAGUCUUACUCCUCCUGCCUGGAGUUGGAACUAUCCCUGGUUGCUGGACUUGCAUUCUGCUGACUGGACCUUAGAUCUGACAAGAUGUUUGUGUUUUAAAGUAUUUAUUAGGUUCAACCUGUUGGGAAGUUUGGGGUAAGGUGACUUGACUUAGGCACAUGCUUAAUUUUUCUUCUCUUUCCUUGCCUCCUAUAGUAAUUAACUAUCAAUUAAACGCUACAUUUCUCGCUCAGUUUAAUCGGUAAAUGUGUUCUUUGAAUUUUCACUAAAGUGACUUUUGUGCAGUUCAGUACACUGGCAUUUUCCGAUAGAAAAAUAUUCUUAUUGUGUUUAAUUGAUUCAGAUUAAAAUAUGGUCAUCUCAGUUGUCAAAAAUGUUUUCAUAGAUUUCCUGUCUUUUGUGUUGGUUUUUUUUUGUAGAAGAAAAAUUAUUCACAUUAUUGUAAUUCCAUACAGUGCAAAACUGGAACAAAGGAAGUGAUGCAGAUCCUUUAGCAGAAAGGUCAUUUGAGUCAUUGGACUAUCCUCAACCAUAGUGGGAACUUAGAGCUGCUGCUGAUACGCAGCACAUUUCUUUGGAUUCUGACACCACUCAUUUAUGGAGACUUUUUCAUGUGAAUAUUUGCACUGAAGGGGAGCAACAGAGAGGUGUUCACGUGUAAACAAAGGCGGGUGGUGUGAAGGGGAAGUGAAUCCUUUGCAGAACUGUAAAAUAAGCCAGAUUCUCAGACCCUCUCACUCUUAGCGAUUCCUGCCAUUCUGUGUCUUUCAGAGCAGAGGUGAUGGAGAGAAUUAAAGAGCAGGAUUAGCAGUGAUAAAAACAUGAAUUCUGAAUGGCGGUCUGGAGCAACAGCUUCAGACUGAUAGACUCUUGACGUUCUCACCAGAAAGGAGGAUGAGGAUUCCGACUCCUGAUCAUAACUGGCUGACAUUUGCUGCUGAGCACACAGCACUGUCCAAGGCCCCCAUGUCUUCCUUGGGUGAAUUAGAAUAAGUGAUGAAUACAGACAGAACCACCACUGGCUUGUGCCAGUGACCGAAUGUGAAGGAAGAGGGUGGUUUCGCAGAGGAGAAAUCUUCCCGGUUUUCACUGAGGAUCAGCCCGUUGAUGAGGAAAUUCAGAGAGCAAGGGCCAGAGUCACAUUGGUUAACAUUUUGCAUAAUUCAGACUGACGAAAGCCCCAGUUCCUGGUAGCUCAAUCUGAAUCUUUGGCAAGCUUUGGAACUAGAUGAGGAGUUAUCAGAUCUGCCUCCGGGCAAAACCUAGCAAUUUAUUACUGGGUCAGUGUUUUUUUUCAUUCUGGUCAGAUUGUUUUAGGGAGACCUAGCCACGGCUCCUAUAAACUGCCAGCCUGCACUCAAAUCGAAACCACAAAAGCGUUGGGAACACGGAGUCGCUCUUUUCCCUCAAGCUCUGUCUUGUCUCUCUGGAUCUGCUUCAUUCUGUUCUGUUUUCUCGUAACUUCAGCUGCCCUGUGGUUCAGAGUUUACCUCAUAUCCCUUUAACUGAGCUGCCACCCUAGUCUAAGUCAGAGCAGUUUCUCAAUUUCAAAUCCCAGGUGGGGAGUCUCAUGGGCCCAAAGUAACUUUUUGAGCCAGGCAACCAAGUCAUAGGUGGUUGGCAAGCCUGUGAAUAGACGGCGUUUGUGUCAGGUGCCUAAUAUUGGUUCAGCCAGCUGUGCUCAGGGUCAGAGGCCAGAGCAGAUUUGCUUUAAGCAGCAGAGUUCUGUGGACGGGGCAGAGGCUUGCAUAUAAAUACAUAGACACUGUCUGGUGCCUCGUAUAUAGCCAGUUUCCUCCUGUUAAUAGGUGGAUCUGAACACUGAACUGCUGAGAAAAAAAAAAGAUGCUCUGAGUGAGACCAUUGUCUGGUCUUUUUUCCUCUUUGAGUUUUAAACUUCAAUGAUGAUAACCUUUUUUUUUUCCUCUCCUGUUGAAAGGUGGCCCUGUCCUACAUCCCUUCAGUGAAAACACUUCUCUCCUGCCCCCACAUGAAAAUUAAGACAUAAUAUAAAAAGUUACAGGAUGACUGUGAGCUCGGAGAAGAGGAGCCGUCAAGAUCCAAAAACCUGGAGGGUGUACUGUGCUUCUUCCACCUCUCACAGAAGUUGCUGAAGAAAGAAAGGAUGGAGCAGAAACUCCCAGAUUGGUGCCCAGAUUGGUACCCACAUUGAAGCCAUGAAAAUCAGGAUUCAGAGCCUCAUCAGCUGACUCUAAAGUCGGUGGCAAUGAGAUGAGUUUGCCCUACAAAAGUUCAUGGUGGUUGAGAGUCUGAGGACAAUUUCCUUUUAACUUCAGCUUGUGUUGUCAUCUAGCCAACUUUUACGAUAAAAGUCCUGCCUGAGUCAAUGUGCUAGACACUGUACCAUGGUCUGCUGGGCUGGGGGUGGGAAGAAGAAUAAAGACACAGCCGUAAUGGUGAUAAGAACUGUGACUGAGAGAAACACUGAAUACACUGGUCUAGAAUGGGUUGGUCAAGGAAUACUUAUCAGAAGUGGUGUCAUUUGAGAUGAGAUGAGCAUUUAUUUAUUUUUCAAGAUACUUUUAUUGCUUUCAGGUAUGUGUGUACGUUUGUAUACAUUUAUCCCAGAGAAAUGAAAACUUAAAAAACUUACGUAGUACUAUGUUGAAUUAGAGUGAGUGGUGACAGUGAAUAUCUUUGCUUUGUUUCUGACCUAAGAAAGUAUUUAGUCUUUCACCACUAAGUUUAAUAUUAUCUGUAGGGUUUUUAUAGAUAAUGUUUAACAAGUUGAGGAAGUUUUCUCUUCUUGUUUUUGAGUGUUUUUAUCAUGAGCAAGUGUUGAAUUUUUAAAAUACUCUUCUGCAUCUAUUGAUAUGGUAAUAUGAUUUUUCUUUUUUAACUUUUUAAGCUAUAUGGUAGAUUGUGCUGAUUUAUUCUUGAAAUAUUGAACCAGCCAGCUUGGUUAUAGCAUAUAAUCCUUUUUAUGUAUUUCUGAAUUCUAUUUGCUCAUAUUCAUUUAUGGAUUCUUGUGUCUGUGUUUAUGAGAGAAAUUGGUCUGUAGUUGUGUGUGUGUGUGUGUGUGUGUGUAUAUAUGCGCGCUGUCUUUGGUUUUGUUAUUAGGAUAAUACUAGCUUAAUAAAAUAAACUGGGAAAUGUUCC